GUGCCAGCCGCCGCGGUAAUACGGAGGGAGCAAGCGUUACUCGGAAUUAUUGGGCGUAAAGGGCGCGUAGGCGACUUAACAAGUCUUGUGUGAAAGCCCACGGCUUAACUGUGGAAGUGCACAAGAAACUGUUGGAGUUUGAGUUCCGGAGAGGAAGGCAGAAUUCCCGGUGUAGCGGUGAAAUGCGUAGAUAUCGGGAGGAAUACCAGUGGCGAAGGCGGCCUUCUGGACGGAUACUGACGCUGAGGCGCGAAAGCCAGGGGAGCAAACGGGAUUAGAUACCCUUGUAGUCC
rnacentral:rRNA from 1 species